rnacentral:lncRNA from 1 species
CUCAACAGCACUUCCUGGCGUAGCAGCUAGUUAAUUCCGCCUUCUCAAACAGAGAGGAAUACUAUUUAUGUUAGCUAGCUGGCUAAGGCUAUCCAACACUGGACAUUUUUCAAGUCAAGAGACGUGGAUGUUGAACGGGAUGCAAGGACGUCUCCAUCAAGGAGAGCCACUGCUCAACUGGAUGCAGAAGUGUAACCAGCUGGACGGAUUCCAUAGUAGUAAGCAUUAUUUUGCCUUUACAUUUCUUUUUUUUUCUUCUUCUUCUAACAGGCUUAUAUGUUGUGUUGGACUGUUGUUUAAGACAUUCGUUAAGAUUAAACUCUGCUUUUAUUGUUGCAAACACAAUUAUUAUAGUAGCAGUCAUAAUGGGUUUGUUGUCAGCCAGAUUAACAUUUGAAUUAUUUUGCGUGUAAUGCUGUUGAUUGGUGACAAUGGUAUGAACAUAUAUUCAGCAUUAUAAUCAUACGAGAAUUAUAAUAUGAUAAUAACUCAAAAUAAAUGUGGAAUAGCAUGUAUAUUUAGAGUUGCAAUGCAGUCUGGGAGUUAUAUUAUAACUGGUUAUAAAGUGGUGUAAUUUUCUUUGUAAUAUUUGUAACACUUGACCUCAAAAUGCAAUUAGCCACGCUUUUAUGUCAUAAAGGUAUGUAGUAUAUUUUGAAGGCGUGUGUUCCACACAUGUAAAGUGUUGGUCUCAUGUUUCACGAGCUGAAAUAAAAGAUCCCAGAAAUGUUCCAUACGCACAAAAAGCUUAUUUCUCUCCAAUUUUGUGCACACAUUUGUUUACAUCCCUAUUAGUGAGCAUUUCUCAUUUGCCAAGAUAAUCCAUCCACCUGACAGGUGUGGCAUAUCAUUACACAGGUGCACUUUGUGCUGGGGACAAUAAAAGGCCCCUCUAAAAUGUGCAUUUUUCUCACACUACACAAUGCCACAGAUGUCUCAGGAUUUGAGGGAGCGUGUAACUGGCAUGCUGACUGCAGGAAUGUCCACCAGAGCUCUUGCCAGAGAACUGAAUGUUAAUUUCUUUACCAUAAGCCGCCUCCAAAGUCGUUUUAGAGAACUUGUCAGUACGUCCAUCCGGCCUCAAAACCACAGACCACAUAUAACCACACCAGCCCAGGAAAUCUACAUCCGGCUUCUUCAUCUGCGGGAUAGUCUGAGACGAGCCACCAGGACUGCUGAUUAACUGUGGUCUUGCAGAACCAAACAAUGUCUGCACAACUGUCAGAAACCAUUUCAGGGAAGCUCAUCUGCGGGCUCGUCAUCCUCACCAGGGCCUUGACCUAACUGCAGUUCGGCAUCGUAACCGACUUCAGUGGGUAAAUGCUCACCUUUGAUGGCCACUGGCACGCUGGAGAAGUGUGCUCUUCACAGAUGAAUCCCGGUUUCAAUUGUACUGGGCGGAUGGCAAACAGUGUGUAUGGCAUCGUGUGGCUGAGCGGUUUGCUGAUGCUGAACAUUGUGUACAGAGUGCCCCAUGAUGGCGUUGGGGUUAUGGUAUGGGCAGGCAUAAGCUACCAUCAAGGAACACAAUUGCAUUUUAUCAAUGGCAAUUUGAACGCACAGAGAAACCGUGACGAGACCCUGAGGCCCAUUGUCGUACCAUACAUCCAACGCCAUCACCUCAUGUUUCAGCAUGAUAAUGCACGGCUCCAUGUCGCAAGGAUCUGUGCGCAAUUCCUUGAAGCUGAAAAUGUUCCAGUUCUUCCAUGGCCUGGUUUAUGGACAAGGUAUGACAGCAACCAAUGUUUUGGUUAUGGUACAUAUGUCUAUAAGCUCUCACAGUCUCACGUCAGAAUUAGGCAUUCAUCCAUGUUUCUCAAGCGUCAAAUUUUGGAGUGCUUAAGGUUAAGUUUAGGUAUUAAAUCCGAAUUCUUAAGGUUAGGGUUAAGUUUAGGCAUGAACUCCGAAUCACUGAAGGUCUUACAUGUCUUGACUCAUACUGCUUUUCUAUUCCUUUGCAUGGGUGAGCUGGAUGGAUGCCACACGCCACUAACUCAAGCUGAACUGGAAGAGGUGGCUGCAGCUAUGGUCCAUGUUUUGUCUAUGUAACAGAUGUCCCACGAAGCCAAGAAGACGGGUGUUGGCACCGGUGUAACAUAUCUGAUCUUUACUCUCUCUUGCGUUGUGUUUUUAAAGAAAGGAAUGCCCAGCCAGCGGUCCCAGUUGAUUGGUAUUUCUGAUGAUAAAAACAAAGAUGCACAUUAGAUGUGCAGGACAACACCAUGUUGAUGGCUGUAGAUUUGUGAUUUGUCUGUUACCAUGGAAAUAACGGUGAAGAUUGCCUAGCUGUUAAGAGUGUUGGGCCAGUAAUCGAAAGGUCGCUUGUUCGAAUCCCCAAACCAGAGAGGUGCAAAACUCUGCUGUUCUGCCCUUGAGCAAGGCAGUUAACAACUGCUCCCCGGGCGCCGAUGAUGCCGAUUAAGGCAACCCCCAAAAUGUUUCUGAUUCAGAAGGGUUGGCUUAAAAGCCACAUUUUGCUUAAAUGCAUUCAUUUCUGCAACUGACUAGGUACCCCCUUUCCCUGAGUUAGCAGGGAGCUAAUGUAACCAUUACAAUUGUAACCAUUACAUGCUAGCUAACUUGCUCUUACAGCAAUAACAUGCAAAAGCACAUCGCAGGAAGCCCCCAAUAUCUAACAUAAUGAACUCGUACACAUUGUAAAUACGUAAAUAAAAUGCACUAUUUCAGAACGUCAAUAACAGCCUGGGAAGAAUUGACGUUCGCAAGCGCAGCCAAUAUCAUAACACCUUGUUGACAUCUGACUUGAACUAACCAAUAGAAAUACAUAAACAUUGAAUUCAUAUUUAUGCAGUGGCAAGUGGAAACAUAAUCAACCCUGUUACAUCUACAACCAUUUUCACACUGGCAGGAAAAGACACACACUGCUCUGAAUAAUCCUGCCCGACCCAAAUGCUUUAAAUGGAACAAAUCCAUAAUAAGCUGUGUGUUUGACAGGUGUUUAUGAAACAGAAAUCAUUAGAACACUAUCCCUCACAACAUAUACUAAAACAGUGAAUAAAGUGAUUGUUUGAUUGAACCUGUUGUAUUGUAAACUAAUGAUUAGUUACAUGUUGACUACAUAUGUUAUGUUACCCUUUCCUGAUAUGAUUGAAUAAAUCCUGACUGCUGUGUCUCGUCCUGACCAUAGUAAGAUGUUAUUUUCUAUGGUAGAGUACGUCAGGGCGUGACAGGGGGUGUUUUGUGUUUUUCUAUGUUUUCUAUUUCUAUGUUCUUAGGUUCUAGUUUUUGUAUUUCUUUGUUGGUUUGUUUGGGGUGAUUAUUUUUUAGUAGUGUUUGUUUCUCCUCUGCGUCACGGUUUGUUGUUUUGUAUAUUCAGUUAUUUGAUGUAUUGCAUAGUUUCACCGAGUAAAUAAAAAUGUGGAACUACGCACACGCUG